UGUGUACUCGCCUCCACCUCCAUCACCAUCACCCCCGCCCCCUCCUGUUUACUCUUCUCCACCACCACCACCACCGUAUUGUGUCCGCCCUCCACCACCUCCGCCAAAUUCUCCUCCACCGCCUCCUCCACUGUACUCCUCACCACCGCCAAACCCUUACAUUUAUAGCUCACCACCACCUCCGCCACAUCACUCACCACCUCCACCGCCACAUUCACCCCCACCUCCUAUUUAUCCAUACCAAUCUCCCCCGCCACCUCCACCAGUCCAUUCACCACCACCUCCAUCCCCACCCCCUUGUAUAGAACCACCUCCCCCUCCACCACCACCAUGUGUAGAAUAUUCGCCCCCACCUCCAUUGCCUUCACCUCCACCGCCAACUCAUUAUAAGCCCCCGCCAUCGCCAUCACCACCACCAGCACCAGUAAUUUAUGCUUCGCCACCUCCACCACCACCAGUUUACUAUCCACCACCACCACCACCACCACCAGCUCAUUACAAUUCGCCACCCCCACCAUCGCCAUCACCUCCACCUCCAAUUCCAUGUGAGAACCCUCCACCACCACCAUCUCCAUCUCCAC
rnacentral:lncRNA from 1 species